rnacentral:tRNA from 1 species
GCCGUCGGUUGAUGAGCUGAAUGGUAAAGUGAAGGAGUUAGCAUCUACAGUUAGUGGUGUGGUGGAAGAUGUUGAGCACGUUAGAAAGGAUAUCAAUCAGAAGGUGAUGCGGGAGGUCCCGGGUUCGAUCCCCAGCGGCGGCA